CCUCUUUCCCUCUCGUGGCUCAAAAUGGCGGAGCCGGCGGGCGAAGCGUCGCUGGCCGCUCCGGAGGCUUCCUCCUCCUUCCUGGGGUUCGGCCCCAACUCGCGAGAGCCGGGCCGGCUCCCCUCGCGGCGUGCGGGCGGCAAGGGCGCCAGGCACCGCAAGAAGGGCUGGAAGCGCUGGCGGGGGCCCGAGGUCCAGCUGGGCCGGGAGCUCGGGGACUGGCUGGAGGAGAGGGCGGCCGAGCUGCGGCACGCGGGAGGGCUACUGUCAGAAAAACCGGAUGAAAGCCUAUUCUUUGUGGAUAAAGUGAAAGGCCAAAAUGAGAAGCAUGCCAAAGAGAAACCUUUGAGGAUUGACUUGAUUCUGCAGCCAGAUUCCAAAGUGCCUCCCCCCAAAGACAUCCUUGCCCACCAGAUCCCCAAUGGCAGGAAGCAGAAGCAGAAACAACGGCUAUGGGAAAAGCUGGCAGAAAAAGGAGUGAUGCCCCGGAAAGAGCGCCUCCUUCAGGAGAGAUUGCAGAAAGCACCAGCCUUGAAAGCUGACUCAGAGGAGGCAAGCACUGCCCUCAAUCCUUCCAGGAGUUUCUAUGAUAUUUGGUCAGAUUUAAACCCACUGGACAAGGCCCUGGCUGGGAAGGAUAGCUGGUUUCUGGAGCAGACCAAAAAGCAGCCGGUGAAGCGCCCAGAGAGACUCAAGAAGACUCCGUCGCAGUUGCCAGCGGUGGAGGUCAUCUCGCCAGGGGGGUCCUAUAAUCCCAGUUUCCAGUCUCACCAGGCCCUGCUCCUCCAGGCCCAUGAAAUCGAGGUCAAGAGGCAGAAGGAGGCAGAAAGACUAGAACGGCAGCUGCGUUUCCCCACGGCGGCUGAGGCCCCCACGCAGGAGACAGUGUUCCGGGAACAGUGUGAGGGACUCUUGGAAGACGAGUCGGAUGGCGAGGAAGGGCAGGAUUGCCCACCGAGACCCCCGGAGGUGGAAUUGCAGGCAGACGCCCCUACAUCUCAUUUUCCCCAAGCGGUGGCAGGGGAAAAGAAAACGGAGCGGCAGCGCAAGAAGGAAAAGGAAGCCAAGCAGCUGAAAGCCCGGGAACGGAGUGCCAAGGCUGCACGGCUCCGGCGGCAGGAGCUGUUCCAGCUGCGGUCCAUCCGGCUCCAAGUGAAGCGGCGGGAAGCAGAGCUGCAGCGCCGGAAACAAGCCCGGGAGGCCAAGCGGAAGGAGGAGGCCAACGCCGGAGCCGUGCAGCCUUGGCACUCAGGUACGAAGAUCCUGACCUGGACGUGCAGUUGAGUACCGAGCUGGCAGAGUCUCUGCGGACGCUGAAGCCAGAGGGCAGCAUCCUGAGGGACCGGUUCAAGAGCCUGCAGAAGCGCAACCUCAUAGAGCCCCGGGAGCGUGCAAAGUUCAAGAGGAAAUACCGCCUGAAGUAUGUCGAAAAGCGUGCCUUCCGGGAGAUCACGUUGUAGAGCACGGAUUGCACCCGCGCAUCCCCGGAGCUCAUCCUGUCCCCUCGGGUUUCAUUAAAACUCUUGACAACCACA